UGAAGCUGAGUGGAACUGGGUGUUCAGUCUGUGGAUCCUGCGGAGCAUAAAAAACAGCAGGGGUCCUUAGCAGGUCUGGGAGAGGGAGGCUCUGAGCUGGGGCAGGCUGGAUUGCAGUGUGUGGAGGUGCCGGCGCAUGGCUGCGAGAGUCUGUUUCAGGAGUCGCAGGGAGAAACGCUUCUGAAGGGUCUGAAUAUUCUGGGUGUAGAGUUAACAUCAGGUGAAGAUGUGCGUGAUUUCAGCAAGGUGCUGAAAAAUAAGUUCAGAUCAAAGAAACAGUUUGCCAAACAUCCUCACUUGAGUUAUUUACUAGUACAAACAGUUCUAGAAGGUGAGAACCUUGAGAGGACACAAUCAUCGCCUUGGAAGCUUCAUCACAAUCCUACUUUGCAUUUCUGAAGAGGGAAGAAGAAAUCAAUGUGCAAAUUCAAUUCCAUGGUUUUGGAAGUCCCAUUGAGAACACGAUUCAUUUGCGCCGGCAUAAUGCUCUGACCGAGAAAGAAUUGAAGGGAAAAAAGCCUUGAAAGUGCCGUUAAUUUUUUGCAUGGCAAGCUGCUGAAUACGAACCAGUCUCACACCAUUGCCAUCACCUUGCCCUUGUGAAGGCACAUAUGGAUAAAGUUUUCAAAGCUGAUAGAAAAUUGAAAGCAGUCGCAUCCUGUGACGAUGGGUGGAGUUAGUGGAACCGAGAAACAUGUCUCCCUCACAGCGUUUGUGACAAAAGAAUUGCAUCGUUCCUUGGCGGCCUUUCAACAGAACAAUAUUCAGAGAUUUCACGAGUGGU